UCGAAACACUAGUUCCCGUACGAUCCCCGAAGUUAAGCAACGUCGAGCUUGGCCAGUACCUAGAUGGGUGACCGCUUGAGAAUACU